GAAAAGAAAAGGAUAAGAGGCAAUAACUAUUGUUUUAAACAACCUUUUUUAUUGCUUGAAAAACUUGAGAACAGUUUUGAAGUUCUGACCAUUUGAACUAUUUCUAUUAUAUACCUUGUAAGAACAUGGUGACCAAUAGGUGACUGAGGUGUCUGAGUGCCCGCUCACCAGCCUGGCAGAAAGUUCUGGUCCCUUGACAAUAAAACCUGCCU
rnacentral:lncRNA from 1 species